AGGGAAUCUUCCACAAUGGGCGAAAGCCUGAUGGAGCAACGCCGCGUGAGUGAUGAAGGUUUUCGGAUCGUAAAACUCUGUUGUUAGGGAAGAACACCCGGGAGAGGAUCCCGGUUUGACGGUACCUGACGAGAAAGCCCCGGCUAACUACGUGCCAGCAGCCGCGGUAAUACGUAGGGGGCAAGCGUUGUCCGGAAUUAUUGGGCGUAAAGCGCGCGCAGGCGGCUUACUAAGUCUGGUGUGAAAGCCCACGGCUCAACCGUGGAGGGCCAUUGGAAACUGGUAAGCUUGAGUGCAGGAGAGGAGAGCGGAAUUCCUGGUGUAGCGGUGAAAUGCGUAGAUAUCAGGAGGAACACCCGUGGCGAGGGCGGCUCUCUGGCCUGUAACUGACGCUGAGGCGCGAAAGCGUGGGGAGCAAAC
rnacentral:rRNA from 1 species